UUCACUACUCCACUAGUCGCAGAGGUCCUUCCAUACAUCCACCUGCAUUUAGUGAUCCCUAUAGGACUUUCAGUCCAAUGGUGACAGAAAAUUGGAAUGCUUGAUGGAGGACUACCAUAGGCUGUAUAGUCCAUCUUGAAACCUACGUGUGGCCAUCUGCUCGAAGAUCGAGCGACCAGCCUCCUCAUCCUAAAGAGAUAUGAAUCAAUAGUAUUUCUGCAAGUAGAAGCAAGCAUGUAUUAAUAAAUAGAAUACAAACCUACCAUGAAUUAUUAAAUUAAAUAUCUUUGACUUAUCAAGAACAUCUCUCAGGCU
rnacentral:lncRNA from 1 species